AUACGGAGGAUCCGAGCGUUAUCCGGAUUUAUUGGGUUUAAAGGGUGCGUAGGCGGCCUUUUAAGUCAGCGGUGAAAGUCUGUGGCUCAACCAUAGAAUUGCCGUUGAAACUGGGAGGCUUGAGUAUGUUUGAGGCAGGCGGAAUGCGUGGUGUAGCGGUGAAAUGCUUAGAUAUCACGCAGAACCCCGAUUGCGAAGGCGGCCGGCCAAGCCAUGACUGACGCUGAUGCACGAAAGCGUGGGGAUCAAACAGGAUUAGAUACCCUGGUAGUCCACGCAGUAAACGAUGAUCACUAGCUGUUUGCGAUACAGUGUAAGCGGCACAGCGAAAGCGUUAAGUGAUCCACCUGGGGAGUACGCCGGCAACGGUGAAACUCAAAUGAAUUGGCGGGG
rnacentral:rRNA from 1 species